rnacentral:snoRNA from 1 species
GCAUGGAUGAAUUCUGCUUUCACUUGCUGUAGUCAUCGCAGUCAGACACCAUGCUAAAGUAAUGCUGGCUUGUGUGUUAACUGGCAUCUUCAUGUUUUUUGUCAGAUUAAACAGGCUUGCGUACAAGU